rnacentral:rRNA from 1 species
UAAGGAAUAUUGGGCAAUGGACGCAAGUCUGACCCAGCCAUGCCGCGUGGAGGAUGAAGGUCCUCUGGAUUGUAAACUUCUUUUAUCAGAGAAGAAGCCCGGGAAUUCUUUCCCGGUUGACGGUACCUGAUGAAUAAGCACCGGCUAACUCCGUGCCAGCAGCCGCGGUAAUACGGAGGGUGCGAGCGUUAUCCGGAUUCACUGGGUUUAAAGGGUGCGUAGGUGGGUUGCCAAGUCCGUGGUGAAAUCUCUGAGCUUAACUCAGAAACUGCCGUGGAUACUGGUGAUCUUGAAUAUCGUUGAGGUGAGCGGAAUAUGUCAUGUAGCGGUGAAAUGCUUAGAUAUGACAUAGAACACCGAUAGCGGAGGCAGCUUACUAAGCGAUCAUUGACGCUGAGGCACGAAAGCGUGGGGAGCAAACA